UACAGGGGGGUGCAAACGUUGCUCGGAAUCAUUGGGCGUAAAGCGCACGUAGGCGGCUCGUUAUGUCGGAUGUGAAAGCCCCCCGGCUCAACCGGGGGAAGGUGGCUGCAAACUGGGCUUCUUGAGGGGGAUAGGGGAAAGUGGAAUUCCGGGGUGUAGCGGUGAAAUGCGUAGAGAUCCGGAGGAACACCAGUGGCGAAGGCGGCUUUCUGGGUCCGCCCUGACGCUGAGGCGCGAAAGCGUGGGGGAGCGAACGGG
rnacentral:rRNA from 1 species